rnacentral:lncRNA from 1 species
GCCAUCAGGAGGACUGAAACUGUAAACACAAGCUGGUAUUUUGGUGUGAUCACGCUAAUAUGGCGGUUUGUGAGGUCAAGGGGUGGAAGGUGAAUUAUGGAUCCAGAAUUUCCUUGCUUUUGUCAGUUUAAGUCAGGCUGCUUGCGAGUAGCUGCUUUUCAAACUUGAAUAACUCAGCUAUUUUAAAGCAAUGGAGACCUACCUUAAAUAAUUAGAGGGGCUACACUGGAGAAGUGUCUUCCCAGGAAAGUAGUGGAGGCUCCAUUCUGCAGAACCUUUAAAAUUAGACCAUGAAAGGCAUGUAACAGCCUCGUUCUCAACAUAACCAUGAGUUGUUCACAGCAUAAAGUGUUGGGUAAAACAACCCAAGGUCUUUAUAAAACUUCUCAUCUCAAUGGAAAACCAUUUAGGUGGCUUGUUUUAUUAUUAGAAGUUCACUUAACAAAAAAAUGGAAAAUAGUUUAUUUAACUGUCCAGUGUACCCUAAAAAGAAAUGAACCAAGUUUCAGACAGAACUCGGAAUACUUCUCCCACUUUGCUGUUGAGGAAAAAAUUAUCUUUGUUGUUUAGUUACAGGCAGUAUGAUAAGGAACAAUCUGAAUGACACGUAAACAGGAGGGGGUAAAUUCCAAGCACAGCCUGAAUGAGAAGUACAACUCAUUUCCUGUAACCUAGAUGCCUUUUUAACACAUCUAUGCAGUCUCCAUGUGAAACCAGGUGCUGUUCCCAAAGGAGAAAACACUGCCCUCCAGUGGUCUUCAAUGAAGAAAUGGAAAUAGUUUCAGGUGGAAACCAGGCUUCUUGGAAGACUUCAAACUAUGCCAAAUGGUCUGAUUUCACCAUAGAGAAAUCUAAGCUGAGACAACUUAAAACUCAAAUGAGAUGCAUGAAAGCACUUGUCAUCCUGACACCAUAUUGAGAAACAUGAUCAGAUUCUUUGCUGAAGAAUGCAGCUGUAUUAAAGGAAGAAAGAAAACCAAGCUACAGCUCCUUAUAAUUCAACAAGCAUUUAAAAGAUUUAUAAAGAUGGUGCAAUUAUGUAUUUAAGCUGCUUCAACACAAGUUCUUGCCUUUCACUCCCACCCUGUGGCUUACACUGGUAUUACAUCUAUUCUGACAUUUAAAAAUCAACAUUAAAGAACAUAUUGUAAUAAUGUAUUCUAUGGUUUAAAUAUUUAAAAAAUUUUACAUCAUACCUAGAAAGUGUUGUGUACUUUCUAAAGCUUAUAAACUGAAAAGGAUUUGAAGAAUCCUAAUACAGAAUCAUAAGUUAUAAUUCAUCCAAAAUUGUAUAGUUCUUAAAUUUCAAAUCCAAACCAGUGGAUAUCUGUCUUUAGUGACAUUUAGAUUUUAUUCAAUUAAGGUCAUUGUAGCUAUUAUAAAUGGAAGAUUUUACUUCAUUGUGUCUUAUCACUGAAGUACUUCACUCUUGCUUUUCAAAAGAUUUCUUUCAAUUUCUUCAGAGUCUUAUUUGUUCUCUAAGACAAAGACUUGAUUUCAGUUUGUUUUUCUUAAAAUUAAUAUCUUCUCCAAUUUAUUUCCCAGUUUUUUCUAAAUAAAUACUUUAAAUAUAUAGAGUAUUAUUUUUAUAGUAUCUCAGAAUUAGUAAAAUAAAAUCUUGCCAAUACAAA